rnacentral:rRNA from 1 species
UUACCAUGCAGUCGACGAUGAACCGGUUUCGGCCGGGGAUUAGUGGCGAACGGGUGAGUAACACGUGGGCAAUCUGCCCUGCACUCUGGGAUAAGCCCGGGAAACUGGGUCUAAUACCGGAUACGACACUCCGAGGCAUCUUGGAGUGUGGAAAGUUCCGGCGGUGCAGGAUGAGCCCGCGGCCUAUCAGCUUGUUGGUGGGGUAAUGGCCUACCAAGGCGACGACGGGUAGCCGGCCUGAGAGGGUGACCGGCCACACUGGGACUGAGACACGGCCCAGACUCCUACGGGAGGCAGCAGUGGGGAAUAUUGCACAAUGGGCGAAAGCCUGAUGCAGCGACGCCGCGUGAGGGAUGACGGCCUUCGGGUUGUAAACCUCUUUCAGCAGGGAAGAAGCGAAAGUGACGGUACCUGCAGAAGAAGCACCGGCUAACUACGUGCCAGCAGCCGCGGUAAUACGUAGGGUGCGAGCGUUGUCCGGAAUUAUUGGGCGUAAAGAGCUCGUAGGCGGUUUGUCGCGUCGAUUGUGAAAGCCCGGGGCUUAACCCUGGGUCUGCAGUCGAUACGGGCAGGCUAGAGUUCGGCAGGGGAGACUGGAAUUCCUGGUGUAGCGGUGAAAUGCGCAGAUAUCAGGAGGAACACCGGUGGCGAAGGCGGGUCUCUGGGCCGAUACUGACGCUGAGGAGCGAAAGCGUGGGA